rnacentral:rRNA from 1 species
UGAAUGUCUAGGUAUAGCAUUAUACCGUGAAACUGCGAAUGGCUCAUUAAAUCAGUUAUCGUUUAUUUGAUAGUACCUUACCACUUGGAUAACCGUGGUAAUUCUAGAGCUAAUACAUGCUAAAAACCCCGACUUCGGAAGGGGUGUGUUUAUUAGAUAAAAAACCAAUGCCCUUCGGGGCUCUUUGGUGAUUCAUGAUAACCUAACGGAUCGCAUGGCCUUGCGCCGGCGACGGUUCAUUCAAAUUUCUGCCCUAUCAACUUUCGAUGGUAAGGUAUUGGCUUACCAUGGUUUCAACGGGUAACGGGGAAUUAGGGUUCGAUUCCGGAGAGGGAGCCUGAGAAACGGCUACCACAUCCAAGGAAGGCAGCAGGCGCGCAAAUUACCCAAUCCCGACACGGGGAGGUAGUGACAAUAAAUACUGAUACAGGGCUCUUUCGGGUCUUGUAAUUGGAAUGAGUACAAUUUAAACCCCUUAACGAGGAACAAUUGGAGGGCAAGUCUGGUGCCAGCAGCCGCGGUAAUUCCAGCUCCAAUAGCGUAUAUUAAAGUUGUUGCAGUUAAAAAGCUCGUAGUUGAAACUUGGGUCUGGCUAGCGGGUCCGCCUCACCGCGUGCACUUGUCCGGCUGGACCUUUCCUUCUGGAGAACCUCAUGCCCUUCACUGGGUGUGUUGGGGAACCAGGACUUUUACUUUGAAAAAAUUAGAGUGUUCAAAGCAGGCCUUUGCUCGAAUACGUUAGCAUGGAAUAAUAGAAUAGGACGUGCGGUCCUAUUUUGUUGGUUUCUAGGAUCGCCGUAAUGAUUAAUAGGGAUAGUCGGGGGCAUCAGUAUUCAAUUGUCAGAGGUGAAAUUCUUGGAUUUAUUGAAGACUAACUACUGCGAAAGCAUUUGCCAAGGAUGUUUUCAUUAAUCAGUGAACGAAAGUUAGGGGAUCGAAGACGAUCAGAUACCGUCGUAGUCUUAACCGUAAACUAUGCCGACUAGGGAUCGGGCGAUGUUUCUAUCUUGACUCGCUCGGCACCUUACGAGAAAUCAAAGUUUUU